rnacentral:rRNA from 1 species
GACGAACGCUGGCGGCGUGCUUAACACAUGCAAGUCGUACGGUAAGGCCCUUUCGGGGGUACACGAGUGGCGAACGGGUGAGUAACACGUGAGUAACCUGCCCACAACUUUGGGAUAACGCUAGGAAACUGGUGCUAAUACUGGAUAUGUGCUCCUGCUGCAUGGUGGGGGUUGGAAAGCUCCGGCGGUUGUGGAUGGACUCGCGGCCUAUCAGCUUGUUGGUGGGGUAGUGGCCUACCAAGGCGGCGACGGGUAGCCGGCCUGAGAGGGUGACCGGCCACAUUGGGACUGAGAUACGGCCCAGACUCCUACGGGAGGCAGCAGUGGGGAAUAUUGCACAAUGGGCGCAAGCCUGAUGCAGCAGCGCCGCGUGCGGGAUGACGGCCUUCGGGUUGUAAACCGCUUUCAGCAGGGACGAAGCUUUUUGUGACGGUACCUGCAGAAGAAGCACCGGCUAACUACGUG